GAUUUGUUAGGCUAUGGACGGUUCAAACCUGUUGCGAGACAAGUGAAAAUUAAAAACAAACCAAUUGAACCGCAUAGGUGUGUUCUGGAAUAUGACAGCAGUCGGUUUUCCGUUGAUACAUAUCUAUUACGUUAUUGAUAAUAUCUUCUGGACAACUAUUCGUCGAAGACCAAUCAAAGACGUUUGGCAAGUGUAUUGUUGAGUGCUACGUCAACUUAUGCUUUACCAUCAGAAUCAAAGAAACAACACGUACAAAUGUUGCCACCACCAGGCAAUAACAUGGGUUUCGACAUUGUACCAGCGUCCCCGUCUCCAUCAGAAUCUUCCGACGAAAGUCCAGUUCGAAGACCAAUACCUCCAGUUGCCUUGAGACCAGUUGCAAAUGAAGCACUUGAAUAUGCCACCCUUGACGAGGUUGAUCAUUUCUGUUAUUUCUUGGGACACCGUUUGAGGGCCUUGAAUACACGAACAUGUUUCCAGCUACAGAUCAAAAUGCUCCAACUUAUCUAUGAUUCCGAAUUCCAUGAACUCUAAGAUCGGAUUCAUCUUUGCAUUGUCACUGACAAUUCUCAAACAUAGUCAGCUGAUCACUUCUGCAGAUCUGAUGUAGGUCUCAAGCUGUAGUAAUGUUCCAAAUGAGCCAGAAGUACCUGUGUUACCGUUAAAGUUAGAUUAAUCGUUCAACAUUUUAUUUGUAUGGCAGAGUUCGUAAAUUGAAUUCGACUGCAUGUGUUUUAUACCUCACCUCAUAAUCUUUAUUCCUGCAUUGGUUCAUUCGUACCAGUCAAAUAUUCAUUUAAUCCAGUGUGCAACUCUUAAUAUAUUACAUACUUUCUUAGCUUAACCUGGAGAGGGUGUUAGCAUUCCUCUAACAAAGUUUUCAACAACUUUAUGUAACAUCAGCUGCUUAUUAGUCCUGUGUAGCGAUGCAAAAAUUUCAUACAUACAAAACAGCAUACAGUAUUUUUUAAGCAAAUGUAACUUUUUUUAUGUAUACACACACAGCAUCUACACCUCCACUAUGACUGAUUCCACUGAUAUUCCUUCAUUCCUUGCUUUCGUAAUUUGUAUUCUUUGCAGACUUAUGAUGUGGUGACUAAUGGUAAAGAGUGCAACAUCGUCAUAAACAUGUAUAAAAUAAGUAUAGAUGUGGAUAUAAGUUUUUAAAUAUGUAUUCUACUCAGGUACUAAUGUUAAUUAGACUAUAGGCAUGUAAAUACAAUGCGUUAAAGCUUACCAGAAAAUAAAUA